rnacentral:lncRNA from 1 species
UAGGAGGCGGGGCAAAAACUUUUUCUAGGCCCGGCCCGAACCUGGCCCGGCCCGGCCCAUGGACAGGUCUAGCCUGGUCUAAACCAAUGGGUCAUGUGACAUAGGCAUCGAAGGUGGGCAUGUGAGUAACAGAUUGCAUCGUUAGGGUUAUACCCAAACCCAAACCCUUUCUCUGUCGGCGAAGAGUCACCAAACAACCGAUCAAACCGGUAAUAGCAUUUUUGAGCAACAUGUCCUAACCGGCCACAUAGUUGACAUUGUGGACGACCACGACCAUGAUAGGAAGCUCGAUCACGGGGUGAAAGAUCUGACGAAUAGGACUCGAUCGAGGAACUCUGUUCUACCGGAGAAGACCCAAACAGAGCAGACUGUUGAAUUAGAUUCGCCUGAACAGGAACCUCAACUACAAAUUGUUUCUGUCGAUUCUCACACUCAAGAAGCAUGCUGGUGAGACGAUCCAACGGAAGAGACUCAGAAGCAUAUGAGGCAAAUGUCAAGACUGAGUCGAACUCCAUUGAAAAACCAACAAAGAUGACGCUCACUUAUUCUUCAUUAAGAACAUCAUGACCGAAAGCACUCAAAAGAUCACAAGUGGCCUUGAUUUUGGCCAAAUACUCCUUCACAGUCAGGUGACCUUUUUUCAGAGAAUGCCACGAGUGCCUUAAGUGAGACACCAUGGUGUUUGACGUCGCCACAAAUAGAAGACAAGCCUUGCUCCAAACAGCAUAAGUCGUGGUGGUGCCUGUAAAGUAAGGUAAGACAUCGGUAAUGAUAGUAGAUAACAAUCAAGAAGCUAGCAAUUUAUCUUGUUGAUGAUGAGUAGCAAAAUCAGGAUUCAAAACCAGCUUCCCUUCUUUAUCAGGGACAACCGGAGGAGGAGUAACCACUGUGUCGGUGAUAAAGUCGGUUAGUCCAUAACCAUCACCAAUAAGACUAACCUGAUGCUUCCACUGAACAAACGUGCUUUUUUGAAGCUUUAUUAUAUCAUGACGAGGAAACGAGUGAAUGGCUCGAAACGCAGUGCCUCCCUACGAGAAACAAGAAGUCAAAAACCACUGAGUAGGGAUCGAAGCUGCAGAAUCCUCAAUCUAGUCCACGAUCCACCCACACCAUACUCAGUCAUCAUCCAAAAAUCAUCGUGCAUCAGAUGGCGGUUAUGAAGCACACAAAGGCAACCAUUAAGAACUCCUACCACGAACACACAUGUAGAACCAACAAUGUCAGGUGAUGGCAUGUCCUAAAAGGGGAUUUGAUAUAAGAGAAAGUCAUUGUUUUAAGACACACUUGUAUUGGCAAAGCGUUUUGACAACUAAUCUUGAAAGGAUUUCCACCAUGAUUUCUUGGGGAAGAAUGGGGAUUUCAGCUCAUUCCCCUACAACUAGUGACUACUGCUGAAAUCUUUGUUCUUUUCUCAUGAUUUUGAUGGAAUAUCAAAGAACAAAGAGUGAUGAAAUGCCUCAAAGAGGAGAGAAAAUGGAUUUGAGCAAUUGUACAUUCUUGAAAAAUGAUAAAUAUUGAAUUUGCAGCUUCGUGUUUUAGAAUUAUUCAUUUUCCGCACAAAACUAAGACCAUG